rnacentral:lncRNA from 1 species
AAAUGCAAACUAAAACAGAUAAAACACAAAUAAAGCGCACAUAAACGAAAACAAGUAGUUCACCACCCCCAAACUUAAAAUUCACAUUGCCCUCAAUGUGAUUUGCCCGAAGUUUAAGGAUAGAAAACACCUGUUUAAGCGCCGGGACCAUCGUUGGGUUGCACUCCAAUUCCACCUUGCGCAAAAGCAUCACCAUCAUCAACAUCAUCCGACAGCUCGGGUACCGGCUCAAGGAUCGGUGCGGGCAAAGGAGCCGGUUCGGCGCACUCGGGAUUGCCGCACGCCAAAUGCCGCACAAUGGCUUGGAGCAUCUUCCCCGACCACCGUUGGAGGGAUUCGAUCGUGCUCACCUUGUGCUCCACCGUGGCAAGCCGAUUUCUCGUAAUCACCA